rnacentral:rRNA from 1 species
GACGAACGCUGGCGGCGUGCUUAACACAUGCAAGUCGAACGGAAAGGCUCCAGCUUGCUGGAGUACUCGAGUGGCGAACGGGUGAGUAACACGUGGGUAAUCUGCCCUGCACUCUGGGAUAAGCCUGGGAAACUGGGUCUAAUCUUGGAUAUGACCUUUCCCCUUAGGGGGUUCGGUGGAAAGUUUUGCGGUGUGGGAUGGGCCCGGGGCCUAUCAGCUUGUUGGGGGGGUGAUGGCCAACCAAGGCGACGCCGGGUAGCCGGCCUGGGAGGGUGAUCGGCCACAAUGGGACUGAGAUACGGCCCAGACUCCUACGGGAGGCAGCAGUGGGGAGUAUUGCACAAUGGGCGGAAGCCUGAUGCAGCGACGCCGCGUGAGGGGUGACGGCCUUCGGGUUGUAAACCUCUUUCAGCAGGGACGAAGCGUAAGUGACGGUACCUGCAGAAGAAGCACCGGCUAACUAUGUG